ACUCUACCACCUCCUCUCAGCUGGGCUGAAGCUUCGCUGUGAGCCAUGAGCUGUGGGCUGUGAGGAGCCGCAGCUGCCCCUGCUCUUGGGGGCCGUGUUCUCCUGGGGGGGUUUGUGGGGGGCGAAGGUGGAGAGGUGAGCUAGGGUGGGUGAAUGUGGGCGCUCCAUCGAGGGUCUUGCUGCUCUCUCAGACCUGCUUCAUGUCCCGCUCUGUCUCCUGGGACUCUUGAUGAGCCCCAUUUUAUUUGAAGAAAUGACUUGAUUGCUAUAAAGAAUCUGAAACAGUCUAAAACGCCUCUGGAAAUUCCUGUCCCCGUCACCCAGGUCUAAGGCACAGGGUCUUGCUCUGUUGCUGAGGCUGGCGUGCAGUAGUGUGAUCACGGCUCCCUGCAGUCUCGACCUCCUGGGCUUAAGCGAUCCUCAUCUCAGUCUCCUGAGUAGCUACAGGUGCUGCCCGAUCACCUUAACAGCCCUCUGGGACCCGUGGCCGUGUGUUCGCAACAGCAGCCAUGGCAGGUGUUUCCUGAGCUCUUCUCAUGACCUCUGUCAGCUCCAUCUCAUUGAUCCUCCUAGCAACUCACAGGGAUGGAGAGGUUUCUGUCCAGAUGAGGAAACUGGGCGUUUGGCUCAAGCUGUUGAUAUGCCAGAGUCCCACAGCGGUAGGUGAGUUGGGACAAGAACUCAGUGGCCUGCUGGAUAGUUAGGACAGUGCAGGGCAGUCUGGGUUUGGGGACUUCUGUGGGGCACGUGUGAGGCUCACUGUGUGAUGCUCUUGCUGGCCCUCCUGGAUCUCCCUUGGGGUCCUCAGGA
rnacentral:lncRNA from 13 species